GCUAGUCGCACGGGUUAGACCCGUGGCGAACAGCUCAGUAACACGUGGCCAAACUACCCUGUGRACGGGGAUAAUCUCGGGAAACUGAGGCUAAUCCYCGAUAGGGCUUCCAUCCUGGAGUGGRGGAAGUCMAAARGUYGCKCUGCGGCAYCACAGGAUGUGGCUGCGGCCGAUUAGGUAGACGGUGGGGUAACGGCCCACCGUGCCAGUAAUCGGUACGGGUGAUGAGAGUCAGAGCCCGGAGACGGUAUCUGAGACAAGAUACCGGGCCCUACGGGGCGCAGCAGGCGCGAAACCUUUACACUGCACGACAGUGCGAUAGGGGGAUUCCGAGUGCGWGGGCAUACAGUCCUCGCUUUUCUGGAYCGUAAGGAGRUSCAAGAAUAAGGCCUGGGCAAGACCGGUGCCAGCCGCCGCGGUAAUACCGGCAGCYCRAGUGAUGBCCVAUAUUAUUGGGCCUAAAAGCGUCCGUAGCU
rnacentral:rRNA from 1 species